UAGCAGAGAAACAUUACUCGGCCAAUAUGCGACUUAAACCGAACAAUGAAUUUUUGAGUUGGUUCAUUUGCUGAUUUAAGUAAUAUAUUCAUCUUUCAUUUCAUUCAUAACAACCUCGUGUCCAAAUCUCGGUGGGAGCUGCGGGGCUGCCGGUUCGGUACGCUUGAACUACUACAUAAUACAGUGGUGACUCCGGAAUCCGACUGAACAGCGGUGGGCAGCGAGUGAGCCUUGUUAUCAUGUAAGCUUUAGUAGUUAAACCUUUAUAAUAUGCUGGAAUUUUACUUUUGUCAUAUGUUAAUGUUUCCUUUAAGUUUGGAUGUUCACGCAGGGAAGCUACAGAACGCCUGACUUCUGAUCUUUCUAAAAUUUCUGACUGGGGCAGAGCAAACUUGGUAUUGUUUAAUGCCUCAAAAACUCAAUUCCUCCAUCUACCAACUCGACACAACCUUCCAGAAUACUACCCCCUCUUCUUCAGUGACACUCAACUGUCCCCCUCUUCUACACUAAACAUCCUCGGUCUGUCCUUUACUUAUAAUCUGAACUGGAAAUUUCACAUCUCAUUUCUAGCUAAAACAACAUCUAUGAAGUUAGGCGUUCUGAGACAUCUCCGCCAAUUUUUCUCACCCACCCAGCUGCUAGCUCUGUACAGGGGCCUUAUCCGUCCAUAUAUGGAGUAUUCUUCACAUGUCUGUGGGGGUUCCACUCAUACCACUCUUCUAGACAGGGUGGAAUCAAAAGCUUUUCGUCUCAUCAACUCCUCCCCUCUAACUGACUGUCUUCAGCCUCUCUCUCAUCGCCGCAAUGUUGCAUCUCUAGCUGUCUUCUACCACUAUUUUCAUGUUAACUGCUCUUCUGAUCUUGCUAACUGCAUACCUCCCCUCCUUCCACGGCCUCGCUGCAUAAGACUUUCUUCUUUCUCUCAGCUCUAUUCUGUCCACCUCAAAUGCAAGAGUUAACCAGUAUUCUCAAUCAUUCUUCCCUUUCUCUGAUAAACUUUGGAACUCCCUGCCUGCUUCUGUAUUUCCACGUUCCUAUGACUUGAAUUCCUCCAAGAGGGAGGUUUCAAGACACUUAUUCUUCAAUUUUUGACUACCGCUUUGCAUCCUUUUCUGGGACUGGCAUCUCAGUGGAUUAUUAUUAUUAUUUUUUUAUUGUAUUUUUUGUUGCCCUUGGCCGGUGUCCCUCCUACAUAAAAAAAAAAAAAAGUAUUGAUACACUCGUCCGUUGCCUCGCCUCUCAAACUCUGCUCAUAAAGGAAUGGAUUUUUGAGAGAGCCCUUCCGGCUUCCGCUACACGAGCCGCGACAUUUGAACCCUGUAACGUGGCGCCUAAAAUCAAUGAAUGAAUGAAUCAAUCAGACAAUCAGUCAUUUCAUAAGUCUUGAAUAAUAACAAAAUAAAAAAAACAAUAAGCAGAAAAAAAACAGAAUGAAGUCAAAAAUAUUAUUAUGAUUGUAAAGUGCUUCGAGGUUUCAAAGCUUCACCAAAGCUGCUGUUUGAGGCUUUGAGUCUUUGAGUUCACCAAGCGUCAUGGUGGACGGGAAAGCCAUGGCUUGAAGGAUUGCACAAAUUUUCAAGAGGAAGCAGAAUUUAUUUCUGCCCAGGGUUCCCAAUGAACCUACUGCCCUACAGUACACUUGCUUACUCCAGGAGGAGCAGAGAACAACACAACCCCUGUUACACUGAACCACAAGGAGUGGAGCAUAGUGUAUAGCUGGAGGACCACCAGAUGGACCUUAAUACAGCACAGUUAAAUGGAAUAGAGGUUCUGUCACCACCACCACCAUCACCACCACGACCCUUGUCACUAAUGAUUGCUUCUCUGUACUAGCUGGUUCCUAAUGACCUUAUUGUUAUGGGGCAGUGUGCUCUAUCAGUUCAUUCUUCUUCCAACAUGUUAAUGACUGUGUGUAAAUUAAUUUCAUACUAAAUCAGCAACAGUACAUCAGAAAGCAUUAGGAUGUGUGUUUAGUGCUUAUU